rnacentral:lncRNA from 1 species
AUGCAUCCUAAGUGUGCAGACAGCGUAAUGGGAUGUUCCCCAUCUGAAUUCCCCUUCAUCAGGGUUCCAUCACCUGCCUGGUGCUGCAUCGUGUUCACACCUACUUUCAAGGAAUAUCACAUAGAAGAAAUCUUCCUAUCCUGCUGUUACUCUCACACUCUUCCAAGACAUUUGAAUUCUCAGGAGAUAUCUUGAGAGAAGACUGCAGUUACCAGAUUUUCAAUUUUUCUGUAGACUAUAAGGAAAAUGGCUGUAUAUUUUGGAGCUUCUGCAACUAAUUUUAGAGGGAACAGUUGGCUAUCAUUUGAAUCACUUAGGAACCAGCUUGUUGGGACUCAAGACAUCAUUUAACCAAACUCUGCAGAACUCUCAAAAGCUGUGGUAUGUUUUCAGUAUGCUAGUCGAGGCUCAAUGGCAGUUGAGUGCCAUAUAUGUUUUCACCAAAAAAAAUGCAUCAAUUUUUCAUAACAAUGCUAUGUAACUGUUAAAAUGCAGGUUUACAGUAUCUCAGUUAUUUUACUGCUGGAACUAGAUAUCUGCACCUUAUGUAUGUGGUCAGCAACUUAAUUUGUGUAGCUACAAUUAUAUAUAUGAG